ensembl:snRNA U6 U6 spliceosomal RNA
GCACUCACUUUGGCAGCACAUAUUCUAAAGUUGGAACAGUACAGUGAAGAUUAGCAAGGCCGCUGUGUAAGGAUGACUUGCACAUUCUUGAGGCAUUCCAUAAUUAA